AACAGCGGAGAGUUUGAUCCUGGCUCAGGAUGAACGCUAGCGGCAGGCUUAACACAUGCAAGUCGAGCGGCAGCGGGGUAGGAGCUUGCUCCUACCGCCGGCGAGCGGCGCACGGGUGAGUAACACGUAUGCAACCUGCCCUUGUCAGGGGGACAACCCGCCGAAAGGCGGGCUAAACCCGCGUAAAUUCCCCGGGGGCAUCCCCGGGGGAGGAAAGACGAAAGUCGGACAAGGAUGGGCAUGCGGCGCAUUAGCUGGUUGGCGGGGUAACGGCCCACCAAGGCGACGAUGCGUAGGGGUUCUGA
rnacentral:rRNA from 1 species